CCUACGGGUGGCAGCAGUGAGGAAUAUUGGUCAAUGGACGCAAGUCUGAACCAGCCAUGCCGCGUGCAGGAAGACGGCUCUAUGAGUUGUAAACUGCUUUUGUACGAGGGUAAACGCAGAUACGCGUAUCUGUCUGAAAGUAUCGUACGAAUAAGGAUCGGCUAACUCCGUGCCAGCAGCCGCGGUAAUUAGGAUGAUUCAAGCGUUAUCCGGAUUUAUUGGGUUUAAAGGGUGCGUAGGCGGUCGGAUAAGUUAGAGGUGAAAGCCCGAGGCUCAACUUCGGAAUUGCCGCUGAUACUGGUCGGCUAGAGAGUAGUUGCGGUAGGCGGAAUGUAUGGUGUAGCGGUGAAAUGCUUAGAGAUCAUACAGAACACCGAUUGCGAAGGCAGCUUACCAAGCUACUUCUGACGUUGAGGCACGAAAGCGUGGGGAGCAAACAGGAUUAGAUACCCGAGUAGUC
rnacentral:rRNA from 1 species